rnacentral:rRNA from 1 species
AAUGAACGUUGGCGGCGUGGAUUAGGCAUGCAAGUCGAGCGAGAAGGUUUCUUUGCUUGCAAUUGAAACUGGAAAGCGGCGAAAGGGAGAGUAACGCGUAGGGUAUCUGCCCCAGGUCUGGGAUAGCGGCGGGAAACUGCCGGUAAUACCGGAUAAUGUCUCCGGACCAAAGGUGUGAUUCCGCCUGGGGAUGAUCCUGCGUCCUAUUAGUUUGUUGGUGGGUAACGCCUACCAAGACUUAGAUGGGUAGCGGGCGUGAGAGCGUGGCCCGUCUCACUGGGACUGAGACACUGCCCAGACACCUACGGGUGCUGCAGUCGAGAAUCUUCCGCAAUGGACGCAAGUCUGACGGAGCGACGCCGCGUGCGGGAUGAAGGCCUUCGGGUGUAACCGCUGUCAGUGGGUGGAAUGCAAUGGGGCUAUCCCCAUUGUUUGACCUAACGCAGAGGAAGUCCGGCUAAGUACGUGCCAGCAGCCGCGGUAA